UACGGAGGGGGCGAGCGUUAUUCGGAAUUAUUGGGCGUAAAGGGCGCGUAGGCGGCCCGGUAAGUCAAAGGUGAAAUCCCUCGGCUCAACUGAGGAACUGCCUUUGAAACUGUCGGGCUUGAGGCCGGGAGGGGGUGGCGGAAUUCCCAGUGUAGCGGUGAAAUGCGUAGAUAUCAGGAGGAACACCAGUGGCGAAGGCGCCACUCUGGGCCGUAACUGACGCUGAGGAGCGAAAGCGUGGGUAGCAAACAGG
rnacentral:rRNA from 1 species